rnacentral:rRNA from 1 species
CAGCUAGUUGGUGGGGUAAUGGCCUACCAAGGCGACGAUCGGUAGCCGGCCUAAGAGGGCGGACGGCCACACUGGGACUGAGACACGGCCCAGACUCCUACGGGAGGCAGCAGUGGGGAAUUGUUCGCAAUGGGCGCAAGCCUGACGACGCAACGCCGCGUGGAGGACGAAGGCUUUCGGGUCGUAAACUCCUGUCGUGCGGGACGAAUGGCUGUCCGGCGAAUACCCGGAGAGUUUGACGGUACCGCGAAAGGAAGCCCCGGCUAACUCCGUGCCAGCAGCCGCGGUAAUACGGGGGGGGCAAGCGUUGUUCGGAAUUGCUGGGCGUAAAGGGCUCGUAGGCGGCCUCUUAAGUCAGACGUGAAAUCCCUCGGCUUAACCGGGGAACUGCGUCUGAGACUGAAAGGCUUGAAUCCGGGAGAGGGAUGCGGAAUUCCAGGUGUAGCGGUGAAAUGCGUAGAUAUCUGGA